rnacentral:lncRNA from 1 species
GAGGAACCUGGAGGCAGGAGCUAAGGCAGAGGCCAUGGAGGAGUGCUACUUACUGGCUUGCUCAGCCUGCUUUAUAGCACCCAGCCAUAGGACCACCAGCUCAGGGGUGACUGGGCCCUUUCACAUCAAUCACUAAGAAAAUUUCCUCCAGGCUUGCCCUCAGCUGGAUCUCAUGGAGGCAUUUUCAGUUGAGGCUUCCUCCUCUAGCUUGUGUCAAGAUGAGUUAAAACUAGUCAAUUCAGUGUCAAUUGUCAAAAUAAGGUGGUGGUUGUUGUUGUUGUUGUUGUUAGUUGAUUGGUAUCAUUUAAAAACAAACACAACCCUGAAUUAAAAGAAAAAAAGAAAACCCAAAGGAUCGUUGACUCCCCAUUGACUGUGAACUGAAGAUGAAUCAUCAUGUCCUCUGGCCCAGCCUUUUCUACUAUAAAAAUAGGUUCCAAAAGAGCAAAAGAGUAAGUCUUGAAUAACUAUUUUUUUCAUGAAACAAAUAUUUAGUAAUUCAAUAGCUAAGGAAACCCGAAUUUCAACAUCUUCAAUAGCUUGGCUUAAUGCUCAAUGAUAAGUAGAACCUGAGUUUUUAACUCUCACUCAAAAGCAUCGCUUUCUUGGCAUCCUAGUUGCUGAAUGAGGCCUUGGGGCUUCUCAUGCUACACACGCUGUGUGCUUUCACCCCCCUCACUGCCUUAACUCCUUCCAGUUGUCUUGUAGGACCUGUAUCCUUUACUUACUGGACGAGGUUGUUACCACUUUUGUAGAAGUAUUUCUUAGAACGCCUCUGUCAUAUUUAAAUAUAUAAGGGGCUGUAAACUUUAAAUAAUAAAUAAGCCAACUAGAAUCUUAACAGGAAAAUGCUGAUGGUUAUUGGUGGUUACUAUGUCAACAGCCAUGAGGGUCUAUGAGGCUGUACUGUUUGUUGCCAUCUAUUCUGGGUUCUGUUUUUUUUUUUUUUUUUUAGGGAAAGCAAGUGAUUGGAGUUUUCCUGGACCCUUUUCAGAUUUUCACGGGGACAGAUAAGAUAGUAGCUUCUAAGCUCUGGUUUGUGUCCCACAGUUACUGAGUGGUGUUUUCAUUCACUACUACUAGUCGGAUUGGGAGAUGGGAGAUGGUUCCUCUGAGCUUUAAGUUUGAGAGUUAUUUAGCUUUCUUACUUGAACAAUUUCUGUUACUAACCAUCAUUUUUCAAAAAUUGGAGUGACAGAUUUUAGGACCACAUAACACUUGAUUUGGCUUGUUUCAUGGAAAAUUAAACAUGGAGAUGAGUUCUGUGGAAAAUCCUGAAAAGCAGAACUAAGGAACUACAGAGAGUGCGCUGUAGAGUGAGGUGUAAUGGCAGCCAUGGAGAACAGUGAAAGGAGCCCCCAAGGACGAGAAGCUAGGAAAGUGGAAAGGAGGAACAGUGGAGCAAAGAGGGAGGGAGGAGACGUAGCUCAGCCGUCCUGCUUGCCUGUCCUGCUUGCCUAGCAUGCGGAGGCUCCGUCACUGUCAGCCGAGUGACUAGGUAGUGGUGAAGACCAGCUGAUAAAGUGUUAUAAUGAGGAGGUCCAGAAUUGUGACCUUGGCUAAAAAGAGUUUUUAGUACCUUGAUGUAGGUACUUUGUUUUGCUAAUUUUAAGACAUCUGCAUUUAAUGGUAAAUACACCUCAGAAUACAUCUUGAUUAUAUUGUAGUUCAACACUGUUUUCAACCCUUUGUGGAUCUGUAUGUAAAAGUGCACAUCACAGUCCAAUACAAGUCAGAACCGUGAGCUCUAGGCCCUGAACCUCUGUACCAUUGCAUAUAAUUAAGAGCGAGAAAGAAUUGAGAAUGGCUUACUCAGGUUUAGCAAAUUGAUAAAGUAACAUCGAAAGACUCAUGAUGUCAUGACUCAGCCUUUCAGAAGCUGUAGAGGGCACCACCGGUGGUGCCCUAGCAUGGUAAUGUACAACUGCUGCCAGCCGGCUGGUCCUGUGUCUUGAAGGCCACCGGGAGCUGGCGGCAGAGCCAACAUGAAUGUUGGAGUUGCCCACAGUGAGGUAAACCCCAGUGCCCUGUAAUGACCAGCCAUGGUUGUUGCCGACGUGUGCUUUGGGAGUUGGCGUGCGUGCGUUCCUGUCACUCAGCGUUCCUGUCACUCAGCGUUCCUGUCUUCAGUGCUCCUGCUGCUUGGACCGUAACAAAGAGUACAUAAUCUGGGGAUAUAUGUAUUUUGCAUGCAGUGAAAGGAACAACUUUUGAAACCCAAUCCAGAUAGAGCAGGGCUCUUAACCCACUGGGAACAGCUUGACUAUGGAGGACAGUUUAUAUCUUCUCAAGAGUUUUUCACAAAUUCUCCAGUAAUUUCUUAGAUGUGACAUGCUGUUACCACAGAGUUUUGGAUAAAGAAACAGACUCAAGCCAGCGAGGGUGGCAUAUCCCUAACCUUAGUAUUAUGGAGGCAGAUGAGUUUGAGGAUAGCCUAGUCUAUACAUCAGGUUCUAGACCAGCUAGAGCUACUUAGAUCCCAUCUCAAAUGAGAGAAAAAAGAAACAGACUCAAAUCUGCUACUUUGGUAAUGAUCUUCUGUCUAUUUUGGAUCAAGCCUGGAUUAAAUGGAAAUUUCUGCCUUCUAUUGCAGGUCUCUUUCAGAUAUACACCUUAGCAAAUGACCUGUCUUACACUG